CUAAAAGAUAGCAUGUUUGGUCAUUUUCUUCUUACUCAUCACGGCAACACAACUGCUUAAUAUAGUUCGACAGAGUUCAGGUAAAAGGACAUGUAAAAUGACAAUAGAGAACGGUAACAGUAAAAGCAAAGAAGGCGAGCGAUCUGGAGCGUUGAUUGAUCUCAUUGAUUAUCCGCCGUCCAUCUUCACUUAGCGGCCGAACCGUUAUCUAAACUUGACCCCAACAGCGCAAGCGCACAGAAAGAAAAUGAACACUGAAUCUUCUGAACUUGCGGGUUGUGACAGGGGGACUUCAUGAAGGCGAGGGAUGGUUGCGGGCGAGGCCAGGAAUGGCCACCGGCGGCGGCAUGGCCGAGUCGGGGGAGGCAGAGAAAGAAUUUACAUAAUUUUCAAAAAAAAAAAUAGAGAUUGGGAACGAGACAGGGACCCUACUCGAGAGCAUUUUUGCUUCUCAGUAGAAGGUGAAAGUUAUUUUAGGAAUUGGAGGUUUUUAGGAAACUGCCGGAGAUGCUCUAUGUACUGCUCAACCCUCUCUUCAGCCAAAACACAAACAGAUAGACAGGAAAUAUAUUGAGUAAAUUUCAGAAAGCCACACAUAUCAGGGC
rnacentral:lncRNA from 1 species